AGGCACCCCCGUCCCUCGCCGGCCCUCUUCUCCCUAGGUGAGCCGACUUUGGAUGAGGUUAAGUACCAGCCAAGCCUCCCCUGCAGGAACCAGGUUGGUUCCAAGUCUUUGUGAGGCGUGGAAAAGACACUUCUGCCCUCCCCACAGAUGCUCCGGCCCCGGGUUCAAGCCCAUUAGCAACAGUAAUGGGAUCUUCCACACCUGAGAGAUUUGGACAGACGCCUUGUGCUAAGUUACCGAAGGACUAACACGCAAGAGAACAAAAGGGGUCAGGGAAACCCAGCCCUCAACAGGAGACGCCCACCUGCGGGGGACAAGCCGACCAACCCACGCGGAGCCGGAGAAGCUGCGGUCCGAGCCCUGGAACCUGACCGCCACCAUCGUCGGCCACGGAAGCCGGCACAUUCCCUCCUCUGCUGAUUUCCUUCGCGCUGGAACUCAUCCGUCGUGUGCAUCCGACAGAGCCCUCCCUGAGGCCCCGGUGACGGUGAGGCCGGCGCGCACUCGGGGGGGGGGGGGGAGGGGCUCCCAGGGGAAGCACGCCGGCAUGGCCCUCGGAGGCCCCUUCUGUUCCAUCCGCAAACACGGCUGGCUGCAGCGUUCUUGGGGCCAGACCAGCACAAUGACCUAUCAUGAAAGUACUCGGGGGCUCCAGGGGGGCGUGCCCCAAGAACCUGGACACGAAGUGAGCUUCGGGGCACCCCGAAGGUACUGAGUGAUGCAGACGGAUGACCUCAAAGGUGAGCUACGUCACCCUAAAAGAGCAGGAUGGCUCGGAGAUGUCCGGGGAAGGUUCUGGGGUCUCCGCCAAGUCCACAGUCCUUGUCUAGGGCCGUCUGUCCCCUACCCGCCGUGGUGGCAGGCGUCCUACGGACUGCAGGGACCCACUCACCCCAGCCCCAGACACAUGCACGGGCCGCAGACAAGACACCUGACCUACGUCGAACCGACCCAGUUCCCGCUCCCAGAAAUUCCGAGAGCUCGUCCAUUUGUGCGGGUGGCUGGAACCUGAGAUGGGUCACCCUGGGCGCGUGGCGGUGGAAGGCAGGUGUCCGGUGGGGGCAGAUGUGUGGAGUAGAGCGUGUGCGGGGCAGACGCCUGGGCCCCUCGCAGCUCCUGGUUCCCAGGGCCACGGCCUGAGGCCCGGGGUGGGGGCUCCCCGGCACACCCGAGUCCUUCCUGUGAGGUGCCCUUGGUGGUUCAAACCAGCUCAGGGGGUUUCCAUCCCUUUCGGCAGCUCUGCGGUUGGCUGAACAGUGGCCCCCAAAUGCUCA